UACACGCUCCUUAGAUCCACCUUUGGGCUUUCUGUCUCUGACAGAAGACCAGCAACUUUAUCGGUUGUUUAUCGAAGGUGCAUGAGUCAUAGGCGUGUGACAUUAUCAUACCUCAGAUUUGCUACUGCUUUUCAAACAUUUGGGAUACUGUUCCUAGUGUGUGGUUUGAAAAAAAUAGUGAACUGGGACACU